UCUAUUGUGUAAAACUCAGCAAACUAUAAAGGCUAGAAUGGUGUAGUGAUGAUGGCUAGACAAUGGGUGGUUGGCCAACUCCUAAUUAGCCAAUGUUUCCUUCCAUUAUACCAUAGGUUCCAACCUCAGUGUAAAUUGAAUGCCAAGUCCAUCAUUCCUCUAUAAAUGGCAGCUAUGUUCUUGAAAUCACGUUGUUGAGAAAAAUGUCUGUCAAAUAUUGAGUUUGAAUAUUUGAGUUGCUGGUGAUUUAGGAGGAGUCUAGCAAUCUCAGAAGGGGGGAAAUUAAGCAAACUAAGCAUUCAAGAGGUAAUAAUGCUAACCUAUAUGCUUUUAAAUUCCUAAAUUUUGAAUUCCUAGAAAAGUAUAUAGAAACAGUGCUUAGUCCAAAAAUUGAUGUCUAAGGAUUGUUAUAAUCCAUGAAUUGAUGUUAGGUACUAUUAAGAUAGUCAAAUACGAAAUCAACGGAAGUUAAAUGAACCAAUU
rnacentral:lncRNA from 1 species